rfam:Triticum urartu cultivar G1812 contig1115565, whole genome shotgun sequence.
GAUGUACUCCCUCCGUUCGGAAUUACUUGUCACAAAACGAAUGUAUCUAGACAUAUUUUUGUUCUACAUACAUCCAUAUCCGAGACAAGUAAUUCCGAACGGAGGGAGUAAAAA